GAGAUAUGAUGAGCAAUCUUAAUUGGUCCGUGUUUCUGAUUUAACCGUGACUGAUACCCAUUAAGCACACUCUGAUCUC